ACAUUAAAUACCCUGCUCCUCUCCCCGAUUAUAGCAGCCUCCGGAGCUCUUCCAAAUUGUCACCUAGGAUGAAUAUGACAGCAAACAAUGCUUUAAAAGUAAGUAAUCUGCUCUAUAAUUAUUUUAGCGGCUGCAACUGCCAACCAGCAGGAUCACUUAUGAAAAAGGAUGCAGUCGUUCCUUAUUAAAAAUGCAUGAAUAUAGUCUCUUGAUUGUGGAAAUAAUCAGCAGACUAUCUAAUGUAACAAGACUUAGCCACAGAAGAAUUAAUUAGGGUGAAAUUGAUUAAGGAAAAGAGGGUAAAAAUCUAUCUGUGAUGAUUCAGGCUCCGAUUAAACUCAAGCAUUAAUUCUCACAUUCUUUUCAAAUUAAGAGCCUCAUCUAAAUGCUCUGCAUUAAUAUUCCAGUGUACACCACCCUCCCUUAAAACCAAAGAGAAAUGCAAGACAUUUCUAAUGAAAGCUAAAGAUGAUGUUCUUGUUGACUAUAAAGCCUCUGUCUUAAGGAUUUCAGGAGAUUGGAGUUUUAAUUAUUAUUUUAAAUAAAGGGGCAAGGAGUUGGAGUGGGUGUAGUGAAAUCCCCAAAUUCAUUCUGGUUUUGAACACUUAGCACUUCUGUCAGGAGAUUUCUCAAAAACUAAAGGAAGCAUGCAACACAAAAAAUUAUGUGGCAGCCUCCUGAAUUCUCUUUGUUUUGCAGUGACCUGCUCUGGUACAGAUAAGGGGAGCUUGAAGGGGUCAUAUGUAUUCCAUCCUUCACCCUGAGGCAGAGCUCUAUCAAACCAGAGACCCAUCCAUAAUUAUCUACCAUCUCCUGAGAGGCCUGCGGGCGCUCCACAACUCCCUUGGUAACACCGGCAGCUAAUAUAUUCCCAGCUCCAGAAUAUGUCCUUCCCCCUCCCCCUGCAGCCAUUAAAGGAUGCUAGUGAGGAGAAGCUUCCCGCAUCACUGAUUUUUCUCUUUUCAUUUUUCCUCCCUUAGGAGCCAGCUCUGUGGUUCCCGGCUCUCCCCAGCCAAACUGUGCUUACGUUUCAUAGGGUCACUGACCUUUCUUUCCUUGCUGCUCCAACAACUGCUAUCUUUGCAGCUCUUCUUCCAUCUGCUGCCUUGUUUUUUGUUCUGUGGCCAUUGUGGUUGAGUACGUCCUUUGUCUGAGCUGGGACAGACAACUCCUGGCUGAGAAGCAUCCUGGAAGGCUCAGAGCCGUCCCUCUAUGCAGUAUGCAACCACUCAACACCAACUGGGGGACCCACUAGCCAAGAUGCUCUGAGGUGGGGCACUCAGGGUUGCCAGCCUUAUCAGUGAAAUAUGGAAAGACAGAAAUAAAGAAGCAAUUUCAAGACCUUUGGCCUGAAUAUGAUCUUCUUUUCUCUUUGCCACCCUAGAAGGUAAUCAUGGUCAGAGUGGGAGAUAGAGUUGUUCAAGAGGCCUCCAAGCAGAAUCUAUUUCCACUUUGGGUAGUCUAGCCAGGUCUCCCUGAGGAGUUUGUCAAGCAGUGUGGCCUGGGAGAGGGCAUUCCAGACGGAGGGGACGGUGUAAGGGGAUCUGGAAACAGCAUGAAUAUGGCAGGCUUCACUUUCCUGGGCCUACAAGGGAAAUCUCAUUUAUAUUUAUUAUAAAAUAUCCAUGAUGCUUUUCUCCCCCACAGACCUGCUUGCUAGUCUCAACUGCUUCAAGCAUACCUGGGCAGAUGUCAUUGGAGGAAUCUGGGGUAGGCCACAAAAGAGCUAUAGGGAGCUACCACUGAGAGCCUCAGGGAAAAGUCCACAUACUACCUCAGGAACACAGUCAUACUCUCCUAGAGCCUGGCUCCACUGCCCAUACCUCCAGCCCAACGCUCACCGUACGUGACUUUGAAUGACAAACGAGGAAUAUGGCAAGGUGGCAAGGCCCUGUCUCCCCUCUCAGGAUGUUCCUUCCCUUCUAUGUAAAUUUGUGGUUGCAAAUUGUCAUGAGGAGGCAGGGACCCCAAAGCAGUCCAGCCCUAAAUGCAAAUAUUAAUGGGGGAAGGGAAGGAUGGUCAUCCUAACAACACCCAUCCACAGAGCCAGCAUCUCAGACUCAACCAAAAGGUCCUGUGCCCUACACAAAGGCCAUAACCAUGGCCAUAACCAAUCCUCUUCCUCUUCUCUCUUCCCUCUCUUUUACACUAUUCUUCUCCCAUCUUUCCCUCAAUUUGGUUAUUAGCAACCUGAUUCUAAGGACCUACCCAAGACUUAGACUUUAUCCUUGGUACUGAGGAGGAUACAAGAGAAAAAGAUGUGAACCCUGCUCUCCAGGAUUUCACAGGUGGUCAGGAGAAUGACAUGAACCCACAGCAAGUGACAAACCAUAAUAGAGGAGCCACCAAUUUAACAUUGAUGUCAGAAAGGAGCAACCCUUGGAACAUGGGCUGGGGUAAUCAGGAAGACUCUGGGGAAUAGGUGGGACUUGAAUUAAGUCUUGAGGCUCAGUUGGCAUCACAUAGAUUGAAGGGAGAAAGGAAAGAUUCUAAGGAAGGGUGGGACAGCAAAAGCCCAGGCUGGAGAGCAGGUUAGAGGACCCUUCAGUCUGACUGCAAGGGAAGAUAAUGCUGGGGAGUAAGGAAGCCAAGCUUCGCAAAGCCUUGAAUGCCAGCUAUGGAGGUUUGGAUUUUAAGCUAAGUUGUUGAUUAUCAAACUUUAGUGUGCUGCAGCAUUCCCUGGGGUACUGGCUAAAAUGAAAGAUUCCCAGGCCCCAGACUCAGUAGGCAUGGCAUUUUAAAGUUUAUUUAUUUAUUUUGAAAGGGGGGGGGGGAGUGGGAGGGGCAGAGGGGGAGGGGCAGAGGGAGAGGGAGAGAGAGAAUCCCAAGCAGACUCCACACUGUCAGCAAAGAGCUCAACCCAGGGCUCAAUCUCAUGAACUGUUGAGAUCAUGACCUGAGCCAAAACCGAGAGUCGUAUGCUUAACCGACUGAGCCACCCAGGAAUGGGAGGGCAUUUUAAAUAAGCACCUCAGGUGACUCUGAUGGUGACCCACAGGCAUGUUUGCUGAAGGUUCUUUUCUCACCAUUUUUGUCCUGUGGGUUUUGUUUGCAUCAUGGAAACCACAGCACCAAAGAGGGUUCCCAGUUUCUGCAAGGAUGUUGAGCCUUGUCUUCUAGGAACCUGGAGGCUGGGGCAAGGAACAAUUUUGACUACACUAAAGCCAAAGGGAAAGCAGCUCUAUUGAACAACUCACAACUAGAGUCAUUCCUGAACAAGAGUGGAGAAGCUGCCUCAGACCCUGGAACUGUGUGGGGCCCCCUCUUGAGUGACCCCAGUGAUUAAAAAUGGAGCCAAUGAAGAAAUACCUUUGCUGGAGAUAUUGUAAAAGUGUUCAGCUCUAGGUUCCUUUAAGUAGCUAUCUCCCGGGGCACCUGGGUUGCUCAGUCAGUUGAGGGUCCAACUUCGGCUCAGGUCAUGAUCACACGGGGUUUGAGCCCUGCAUCGGGUUCAGUGCUGACAGCUCAGAGCCUGGAGCCUGCUUCAGAUUCUGUGUCUCCCUCUCUCUCUGCCCCUCCCUGCUCAUGCUCUGUCUCUCUCUCUCUCUCUCUCAAAAAUAAACAUUAAAAAAAACCUGUCAUUAAAAAAAUAAUAAGGAAGGAAGGAAGGGAGGAAGGGAGGGAGGGAGGGAGGAAGGAAGGAAGGAAGGAAGGAAGGAAGAAAGAAAGAAAGAAAGAAAGNNNNNAUAAAUAAAAACAUUAAAAAAAUUUUUUAAAUGUUUAUUUAUUAUUGGCAGUCCCAGGGAACUAAUACAAGUGCUUCUAGGGAAGGGGGUGAGGCAAGGGUUGACUGCUUUCUGCCCCUCCCCUGCUCAUGCUCUGUCUCUCUCUCUCUCUCUCUCAAAAAUAAACAUUAAAAAAAACCUGUCAUUAAAAAAAUAAUAAGGAAGGAAGGAAGGAAGGAAGGAAGGAAGGAAAGAAGGAAGGAAGGAAGGAAGGAAGGAAAAGCUAUCUCCCUUUAGCACUGUGACAUACAUUGAACCCUGGAUCCGCCAUUUAAUACAUGCGUUUAAUGGCAAGUUACUUGCCCUCUCUAUUAAACCUGUUUGCUCAAGUCUCAAUGUUUACUGGGAAAUUUUCAAACCUAGAGAAAAGUUGAAAGGAUCAUGCAGGAAAAUCUAUAAAUCUUUAUCUAGAUUUACCAAGUGUUAACAUUUUGCCAUUUGUUUCCCUUUUUUCACUUUAUAUAAACAUGUUAAGUAUACAUAGGUUUAUAUAUUAUAUAUACACACUUAUUGUCUAUCUAUCUAUCUAUCUACUCUUUGUUUUUGCAAAAGCAUUUGAAAGUCACAGAUAUCAUUACAUUUCACUCCAAAUACUUAGGAACCAGGACAUUCCUCCUAUAAUUCCUCCCAUAACCACAACAUCAUUAUCACACCUAAGAAAGUUAACAUUGAUGCAGUAAUAUUAGCUAAUUUAUAAAACAUACUGAAAUUUCUCUGAUUCUCCCAAAAUAUUCUUUAUGGCUUAAAAAAAACACAGGAUACAAUCAAGAUUCACAAAGUAUAUUUAAUUGUCAUGUCUCUUUAUUUUCCUUUAACUUAGUAUGGGUCUCUCCCUGUCUCUGUUUUGUUUAUGACAUUGGCAUUUUUGAAGAGUCCAGGAAAAUUGUCUUGUAAAAUGUUCCACAAUCUGGAUUUGUCUGAUUGGAUUCCAGCUAUUUGGGGGCAAGAAUAUACUAUGAAGGUGAUGCUGUAUCCUCCCCGUGGCACCCUGUCAUGUCAUGUCAGGAGGCAUGCCCUGUCCGUUUGUCCCAUUCAUGAUGCCACAUUGAAUUACGUAGUUAAGGUGUACACCAUAUGUUUUGACACUUGGUUAGAUUUACCUAAGCACUGUAUUGAUCAACUCAGUCAGAUUGUAAAGUGCUUGAGGGCAAAAACUGAGUCUUUGGAAAAUAAUACUUUGCAGUUUACAAGAUUUUUUCAUAGAGCUUAUCUUGUUUCUUCCUCAGAUACCUCUAAGGGAGAUAUUUUUAUUCCCAUUUUACAGGAAUGCAAAAUUUCAGUGUUUAGGAACCCUGACACUGAAUCCCAGUUCUACCCUUUCAUAAAUGUGUCUUAUGGCAAAUUACUUUAACCACUCUCUUAAAAUUCUGUUUGCUCAACAGUAAAAUGGGAAUAAUAGUAUCUUCCUCCCAUAGUUGUUAUGAGGGCUAAAUGGGGGCAUUGAAAAUAAAAUGCUUGACAUAGUGUUUAGCACGUAAAGAAUGCUCAAAAAAUGAAAGUGUUCUAUCUGUAGAGCUAAACAUAUUAUGUGCACUCACACAUAAACACAUACAUACAUAUACAUAUAUACAUAGACAUAUAUUCAUAUAUAUACAUAUAUACAUAGACAUAUAUACGUGUGUGUGUGUGUGUAUAUAUAUAUAUAUAUAUAUAUAUAUAUAUAUAUGAAUGCUCAGGAAAGUUAAGUGUCUGGUCUGUGGUCCUCAACAAAACAGCAAGCAGAACCCAAUUCAAGCCCCAUCUGCCUGACUCCAAACCCAAAUCCUAUGCCCAUUAUUCACACACCAUCCUGCAGGCAUUGGGCCAACCCUUAUCACAUUAUAGGAAACAUUUGAUCAAAAUCAUUUGAAUAACGUUAUAAAAAUUAGUCUUCAAAUAUCUUAUUCACACCUAAUUUCAAGAUGCACAAAGCAGGACCCUACUGCUCUGAUCAUACAGGUUGGCCAUGGGUCCCCAUAUCAAUGCCCUUUCUUCCCAGAAUCUGCUAGUACGCUGCCUUCAGCUCACUGCUGUGUUGGCAAUCUCACAACAUCCCAAGCUCUCCACAUUAAACAGCAGUCACCAUGCACCCAGAAGCAACAUAUUGUAGCCAGAGAUCAUUCUGUCUUUGACCUUAAAUGUUCCCCUGUGCUGCCCUGCAGAAUAAUUGCUCUGGAGUAGGAACAAGACCAGAGAAUGAGACUUGGUUGAAGUGGGGAAGCUUUAGGAGGCCAGGCCAGGCAGAAGUCCCUGAAAGCUCCCAUAGGCUUUCAUUAGAAAUUCCCAUUCCUGCUUUCUACUAAGUACCCCAGCCCCUGCCCCAGUCUAUAGAAGGGAAUCCACAGAAACAGCAAACCAUCAUUUUGAGUCAAGGGUCUUUAUCCCAUGUGAACUAGGAUGGGUCCACCCAAGAACUAAUCCCAGGGGUGCUUGACUGGCUAAGUCAGUGGAGCAUUCCACUCUUGAUCUCAGGAUUGUGAGUUCGAGCCCCACAUUGGGUGUGGAGAUGACUUAAAAAAUACAGUCUAAAAAACCCCAAAAAACCUAAUCCCACCUGUCUAUGAUUUUGAAAUGUGGGUUUGCUGUUCAGACACAUGUCUGGGAUCCACAGCAAGGAAAGAUCACUGCUAAUGAAGAGUUCACAGAGGUGGUGGGCCUUGGAAAAGGGUGGAUUGGAGUUGGAUAAGGAGGAGGAGAAAGGGAAGUCCUGAUUUUGUGAGCAUGGGGGCACAGAGCAUUAGUAAAAGCACAGAGGUAGGAUAACAAAGGCCCGAUUCAGGGAUGGAGGGGACAGUAUGUGCCCAGGAGGAGCGCAGAGAGGGAAGAACUCCUCCCUUCCAGACACAGAGCAGGUUGUGGCUGUGGAGCAGCUGAAUAUUUUAUUGAUGGAAAAUUGGAUGUGGCUAUGGUGCUUGGGAUGUGGAUUCUGAUUUCAUGGCUGGGUGUACUAGAUGGCCAAUUAGGCCACAGAAGGGAGACCCACACCCCCACCCCCAGGUUUCCCAGGCCAGCAGGACCCAGAUAAUGACCUUUCUUUCAGGCAGCAUCAGUGUGUGUACAUGCUCUGGCAUGAGCCAGAUGAACAACCCAUUGCCUCACAGGUUCUCGGUUCCAGUUAUUCAGCGGACAUACAUGUAGCCCCUACUGCUGUACCAAGUAUCGUGUUAAAUACAAAUGAGAUAUAGAUGUCUCUGCCCAGGGGACAGCUUGGAGACACAGACCCCCUAACAGGCCUCUAACUGUAGGAAGAAGAAAGUACUAUGGCCUGAGGCAGCACAGAAGAGGGGUCCCCCUGUGCUGAUGCAUUCCCCAGACAAAGAGGAAAGAGAGGGAUGCUACCCAGAGUUUACUGAGGACUCUGUUUGGGGUAAAGCAUGAGCUGGGAGCUUGUUCUAUACUCUAACCCUUAAUCUUCAUAGUCACUGUAAAAAGUAGGUAUCACAGUUCCUAACUACGUAGACAAAAGGCAUUCCAGGUGGGCACAUGGGAAAGAACCCUGGAAUGUGGAGACACUUAGCAGUUUGGAGAAGCUGAAGCAUCAGAGGCUUACCAGGGUUGGGGCUGGCAAGAAAUGAGCCGAAGAAGAUGGAUUGGGAAGACAGAUGACAAACUUGGACUUUACCCAUCUAGCCCAUGAAGGGUUGUAAAAAGGAUGGUGCCAAAUGUCUCUUUCACUCCUUCUACCCUGAUGGCCUCUCUGGUCCUGGCCUCCUCUCCACAUACUAACCAUUCUCAUCAUAUCAACACAUAAUGAUCGCACACCUUUACUGGGAGCCAGACCCUCUCCUGGGCACUGGGGAUGUGACAAUGAACAAGACAAGGGCCUACUCUCAUGAAGUAAUGAACGAGAGAGUAGUAGAAGGAGACAGUAUCUAGGACACAAACACACAAAAUAAAGGCAAGAUUGUGAUAGGUUCUGUGACAAAAAUCAAACACAUACAUGGGACAGAAAGAAAUGGGGAGGGGCAGGGGGCUGCUUUAGUUAAUUGUUUCUUCUUCUUUCCAUGGAACUCUGGUUGCUAUGGAGUACAGGGGUCUCAGGACACAGAGUUGGGAAGCUGUUUAGUUCCCCCCAUUUCAAAUCCUUUUCUUGAAAGUAAGUUAACUUCCUAGAAAAACAUAUCCCAUGCUUCCAACAUUCCUGGGCCUCUGAUGCUGCUCCUUGCCAAGACUGGGGGAAAGGCCCCUAACUUCAGACACAGCCUAACCUGAUUCUUGUGGGGAUUAAGCUAGCAAGAAGCAUGGCAUGAGACAUCCUGUGCCCUCCCCACCAGUAUCAGGAGCCCAAAGUGCAGAGCCCACUUUGAAUCCCAGAGCUGGAAAGGAGAAAAUGGUGAGGCCAUGCAGGACAGACAGUAGAUGUUUGCAGAACAUUUUCAGGGAUGGGUUCCUUUCCCUUCAUCCAUGAGCCAUUGCAGAAUAUCAUCCUCUUGGCACCAACAGUGUCCUUCUUUCUCUGGAAUGACCCCUCUGCUUCAGUGCCCUAUCUUGGCCUGUGGACAGGGAGAAGACAUAUUUAAUCCCAGGCCCAACAGUCCUCAGAGACCAAGUCAGCCUGAGUAGGCUUCUCCCAGUUCACACAAUCUUGGGCCCUUUGGACGUCUCUCUGUGGCCAGGGUGUUUGUCCUGGGAGUGAGGGGAGCACAUGGGAUGCUGGCAGGGUGGCUUGUCAUACCUCAGUUUCUGGACCAUGGAGCUGGAUAGGCAAGGAAGGCUGUGGUGUGGAGCUAGAAGCCCAAUGAGUGGCCUCCUCAGAUAUGAGCCAACCUGCUGGAGCUCAGACAUAACACACCCAAAGGGAAUGGUGAGCAAGUCAAACUGGUGGGGCUGGAUCCCAAGCUGUGCCAUCCUGGAAGGAUUCUUGGAAAACCAGACAGAUGCUAAGAAGGGUUGGAGUAAGAACCCAGCUCAUGCCUGCACCAACCUGGAAGGAGAGGGGUGGGGGGAAUGUGAGGGUGGGCCUGGACCACCUGCAGGCCAGAGGCCACAUUGGGAUCUGGGCUAAUGUCAAGAUGUAUUCCCAAGUUCAGAGAAAGAGGCAAUCCAUGCUGGACUGCUUAUCAGUGCCUUCCAUCCCGCAAAGGAACCAUGGCUGGGUCUGGUUUUAUUACAGCACUUUUGACCUCUUGCUUCCCUCAGGGAGGCAUGGAAACAACUGGGGACCCUGGAGAAUAAUUUGGCAGCCACCUCCCUCACUUAGAGGAUUUUUUCCACCUUUCCGCCCUCCUAUAGGCAUUUCCUAAAGCCCAGCCUUCUGAGAGGUGACAAGAAAGAAGCGUGUUAAAUUUCACAGAGCAGAGCAUUAUUAUUAUUCCCAGCCAGAGCUCAAUAUGAUGCAGAAUUUGAGGCCAUGCGUGUGAAAAAGUGCAAAUCCAUCCUCACAAUUUUUCCAAGAUUCCAUCUCAAGCAUCCUAAAGCUGAAUAAUGGGGAAUUCAGCAUUCUUCUCCUCCAUUCUCUCUGCUUCUCUGUCUCUGUCUCUCUCUCCCGCACCCCCCCCACCCACGCACACAAGCAUGCAUAUAUGCACCAUCCCCCUUACCCAUUUCAGAAUCUUCUCUUUUCUGCCAGUCUCUGCCUCCUCCUCCCCACCCCCACCUCCCUUCUUAGAAGGAGCACACCAGGACAAGAAAAUGUCCCAAUCGGGGCGCCUGGGUGGCGCAGUCGGUUAAGCGUCCGACUUCAGCCAGGUCACGAUCUCGCGGUCCGUGAGUUCGAGCCCCGCGUCAGGCUGUGGGCUGAUGGCUCGGAGCCUGGAGCCUGUUUCCGAUUCUGUGUCUCCCUCUCUCUCUGCCCCUCCCCCGUUCAUGCUCUGUCUCUCUCUGUCCCAAAAAUAAAUAAAAAACGUUGAAAAAAAAAAAUUAAAAAAAAAAAAAAAAAGAAAGAAAAUGUCCCAACCACAGAACUGAUUUCUCAGAAGGAGUUGUUAAUGCAGAUAUAGCCCCAGAAUCAUUGCUUCCCCGAGCCCAUUUCUCAGACCCACCAUGUCUAAUGUAACCCAAGAAAUGAUGCAAUUGCAUGAAGUGGCCUUCACCAGACAGUGCCCAGGGUUGCCCCGGAGAGCCAUAUCUGCUGUUGUUUUAGGAAAAGGCUAGCUCACUUUCUGUGGCAGGAGGCUGCUGAUAUGGUCCCUUCCCAGGGAUUGGCAGCUCUGAGGGGCUUGGGAAGAGCACUUAUAAAACACAGAUUCACAAAUGGGCUGCCAAGGGUCUGGGAAGGCCCUGAAACUGAAUGCACUAGUGUGAGUAUGUGUGUUUUCCUUGGGAUGAGAAUCUGUUUGUUCUGUCUGAUUCUCAAAGGAGUCAGAGACCCCGCCCAAAUGGUUACUAGUUUGGGGCGAUAGGUAAAACAAAAAGAUGAAAUGUUCCUUCUCUCAUUUUUCCCAUUGAUGAGUGUGUUUUAUGCAAUUCCUCGUGUAAAAUAGAAGCCUGAGCCCAUAGAAAUCAGGGGUUGAACAUCCUGAAUAUGCAGUUCCGUGGAUAGUCACCAAGAGAAGAUCUGAGCAGGAGACAUGAUGUCACCUUUAGGGAGGAGACUCUUCAGCUGUCUGGAGUGAGGGGAGGAGGUAGGAGAAGAAUCAGUAGCCUUGGACCCCCAGGGAGAGCCAGAUCACCUUUCUGGGACACAGUCCAGACUCUGCAUUGAACAUGCAGCUCUAAAGGAGAUGCUGUGCGGAUUCCAAGCUGCCAAAUCCUGGAGGCCCUAAGGGAGAACCCAGCUCCAGUCAGCCCAGAUGGUGUCUGGGCAUCCUGUGCCAUACCUACCAGGAUCAGGAGCCCAAAGUACAGAGCCCACUGCAAGUCAGAACUAAGACAGCUCAACACCAAGACCAGCUUCCCUGACCUCCCACAGGAGGGAGAAGAGAGAAUGAGGGCC
rnacentral:lncRNA from 1 species